GGGCUCAUAGCUCAGUUGGCUAGAGCGCGCCGCUGAUAACGGCGAGGUCGAAGGUUCGACUCCUUCUGGGCCCA
rnacentral:tRNA from 1 species